rnacentral:snRNA from 1 species
GUGCUCACUUCGGCAGCACAUACACUAAAAUUUAAACAAAGCUGAAAAGAUGGACCCUGUGUACAGAUGACACGCCAAUUCAUGAAGUAUUCCAUUUUUUU